rnacentral:rRNA from 1 species
UACGGGGGGGGGCAAGCGUUGUUCGGAAUUACUGGGCGUAAAGGGCUCGUAGGCGGCCAACUAAGUCAUACGUGAAAUCCCUCAGCUUAACUGGGGGAACUGCGUGUGAUACUGGAUGGCUUGGAUUUGGGAGAGGGAUGCGGAAUUCCAGGUGUAGCGGUGAAAUGCGUAGAUAUCUGGAGGAACACCGGUGGCGAAGGCGGCAUCCUGGACCAAUAUUGACGCUGAGGAGCGAAAGCCAGGGGA